AUGUGUAGGGCGAAGCGAGAAGGAGGAAUGGGCUUUCAGGAUCCAGAGGCUUUUAAUCAAGCUUUGCUGGCCAAACAAGCCUGGCGAGUGCUGCAGUGCCCGGAUUCUUUGUAUGAUAGGGUGCUCAAGGCAAGGUAUUUCCCCCAAGGAUCGAUCUUGAAUGCCACAUGCCCUGCAGGGGGCUCGUUCACUUUCAGAAGUAUUAUACAUGGC
rnacentral:rRNA from 1 species